CAGAAUACUAGAAGAAGUCACAUAAACACAUACUCUACUUCUCAGUAUACUAUUUUUAUUCUCAAAAAUUGGACGUUAUUUCGAAAAUUUCAACUUAAAGAGGAUCAUUUUAAUAGAAAAGAGUUGGACAGAUUCUCGGGAGACAAACGGAAAUGAAUGUUUAGUUUUGACAUCAACGACUCGAUGGGGGAAGAUAUUGACCCUUAUUUAAUUAUUCAAGCCAACUUUAACUUUUCAAAUGUUAUUGGACAGACGGAAGGAUUUUAUUAUUCAGCAUUAAUUCCAUAUAAUAAAAGAUAAAUUUCAUGUUUACGUAUGAAGAAUAU